rnacentral:lncRNA from 1 species
ACUGAUGCAAUGAAAUUUAUGUUUGUUUAGUUUGCGCGAAAAUGUGGGAAUUUCGGGCUUUUGUGUUUGAAUCAUCAGAGUAAGGUGCCUGUUAAGGGCUAACUAAUUGUUGCAUUAGGGUGCGAUUCAAACAAAGGUCAGCCAAUGGGCUGGCGCUCAUCCCACCCACUCAAUCUCGCCUAACCAAUCAGCGUGUUGCUUUGUGUUGACGCCGUUCCACUCUUUUGUUUAUUUUUUCAUUGUACAGCCUUAUUCUAUGGCAUAGAUAAAGACAACAUGUUCUAUGGUACAGCCGGUUACUCGUCUGGAUCUAUGUGCUGAGCAGCUACCCUACCCCUACUUGUCUUUAUCUAUGCAGCUACCGGCACAAAAUAUCCCCCCUAUGCAUAGGGGGUAUGUUCUUUUGCGAUUUAUUUUCAGUCUUUAUCUUAGAUUUUAGUCAGUUUCUUGACUCAACCAGAGCAGUUUCAGAAUGGAGCCCUGGCAACACAGCAGCAAAGGUCUCCGAAGAAACCAAAGUCCCCAAGUAAGCGUAGCCCUGGCAGGCCUAAAAGUAUUAGACGCGAAAGCCUCGGUCGACCCUCAAACUCGCCUUCGAGGCGCCGAACAACGAGUUUGACGCCGACGGGGCGCAGCCCCAACAAGCGUUCCCUAGCCGGAAAUAGUUGAAAGUGAGUUGCAGGGAGCCCCAGUCCUAUGGUUUCGGUCCAGCCUUCACCUGAACUCUGUUACUACAGUGAGGGCUCAGUCGAUUUACAUUUGCGUGGGCUCAACUCCAGUAGGUCCCCAUCUGCUGAUUCCCUCAAAAGGUCUGCGGAGCGUCUCGCGCCACCCUGAGUACCUGGGCGCAAUCAUAGGGGAGGUUGCCGCCCAAUCACUGCUCCUAACGGCGUCCUUCAAAGACCUGGCCAUCCUGAUCUUCCGGAUUGGCCUACUGAAAUCUGAGGAGACUGCGAACGACAAACUGUCCUUUUUUAAGUUCCGGCUGAAUUGGGUGCGUUACUGCAUGAGGACAGGAUGGCUGUUCGAUUCCAACCCCGAGUUCAACCCUCUUGGUUAGAUCAGAAAAGAAAAGCUGUACAGACCCUAGUUGAAGGAUAAUAAAAUGUUCACGUGCUCCCACUCACA